AGCAGAAAAGUCGUGACCAUACUUCAAAUAA
rnacentral:piRNA from 1 species